rnacentral:rRNA from 1 species
AGUCGUACGCUUCUUUUUCCCCGGAGCUUGCUCCACCGGAAAAAGAAGAGUGGCGAACGGGUGAGUAACACGUGGGUAACCUGCCCAUCAGAAGGGGAUAACACUUGGAAACAGGUGCUAAUACCGUAUAACAAUCGAAACCGCAUGGUUUUGAUUUGAAAGGCGCUUUCGGGUGUCGCUGAUGGAUGGACCCGCGGUGCAUUAGCUAGUUGGUGAGGUAACGGCUCACCAAGGCCACGAUGCAUAGCCGACCUGAGAGGGUGAUCGGCCACAUUGGGACUGAGACACGGCCCAAACUCCUACGGGAGGCAGCAGUAGGGAAUCUUCGGCAAUGGACGAAAGUCUGACCGAGCAACGCCGCGUGAGUGAAGAAGGUUUUCGGAUCGUAAAACUCUGUUGUUAGAGAAGAACAAGGAUGAGAGUAACUGUUCAUCCCUUGACGGUAUCUAACCAGAAAGCCACGGCUAACUACGUGCCAGCAGCCGCGGUAAUACGUAGGUGGCAAGCGUUGUCCGGAUUUAUUGGGCGUAAAGCGAGCGCAGGCGGUUUCUUAAGUCUGAUGUGAAAGCCCCCGGCUCAACCGGGGAGGGUCAUUGGAAACUGGGAGACUUGAGUGCAGAAGAGGAGAGUGGAAUUCCAUGUGUAGCGGUGAAAUGCGUAGAUAUAUGGAGGAACACCAGUGGCGAAGGCGGCUCUCUGGUCUGUAACUGACGCUGAGGCUCGAAAGCGUGGGGAGCAAACAGGAUUAGAUACCCUGGUAGUCCACGCCGUAAACGAUGAGUGCUAAGUGUUGGAGGGUUUCCGCCCUUCAGUGCUGCAGCUAACGCAUUAAGCACUCCGCCUGGGGAGUACGACCGCAAGGUUGAAACUCAAAGGAAUUGACGGGGGCCCGCACAAGCGGUGGAGCAUGUGGUUUAAUUCGAAGCAACGCGAAGAACCUUACCAGGUCUUGACAUCCUUUGACCACUCUAGAGAUAGAGCUUCCCCUUCGGGGGCAAAGUGACAGGUGGUGCAUGGUUGUCGUCAGCUCGUGUCGUGAGAUGUUGGGUUAAGUCCCGCAACGAGCGCAACCCUUAUUGUUAGUUGCCAUCAUUUAGUUGGGCACUCUAGCAAGACUGCCGGUGACAAACCGGAGGAAGGUGGGGAUGACGUCAAAUCAUCAUGCCCCUUAUGACCUGGGCUACACACGUGCUACAAUGGGAAGUACAACGAGUCGCGAAGUCGCGAGGCUAAGCUAAUCUCUUAAAGCUUCUCUCAGUUCGGAUUGUAGGCUGCAACUCGCCUACAUGAAGCCGGAAUCGCUAGUAAUCGCGGAUCAGCACGCCGCGGUGAAUACGUUCCCGGGCCUUGUACACACCGCCCGUCACACCACGAGAGUUUGUAACACCCGAAGUCGGUG